GGGUAGUAGAACAAUGGGAUUAUGCUGUCACAAAAACCAAAGAAAAAACAUAAUUUCUUAAAUCAUGGUCUGUCACUGAAUCUGGUUAUAAAACCUUAUCUUGCACUAGAAGGAUCUGUAGCUUUUCCAGCUGAGAAUGGGGUUCAGGAUACCGAAUCAACACAAGAAAAGAGAGAAACUGGGGAUGAAGAAAACUCAGCUAAAUUUCCUGUAGGAAGGAGAGAUUUUGACAUAUUCUCAGACCACUUCUACCAAAACAUAAAUCUGUGAUUGUGAUCUCUGAAAGUCAGUCCUUUUAUCUACUCAAUUAUGACUCAAGGCUUUGAGAAUGUAAAGAGACCACCUUCACUUGUUGAGAAAUGGUACGAUUUCACGUUAUCAGUGCAGUUCCGUUCUCGGGGGAAAGCCCAUCCGUACUACCAGGAGACUGGAUCCGCAAAGUAGACACUUGGUCUCAUGAAGCCACUGCUGGGCUCCAGAGAGAAGGGAAAACUAAGAGGUUUUAAAACCCCUACCCUCCUUGGUUUACCUCCAUCAUUAAAAAACAACAAUGACAACGACAACAAAAAACAAAACUAAAACGACUUAUUAUUUAUUAAUUAUGUUGUGGCAGACAAUAUGCUGAACAUUAGACAUAAUUAAAUCUUUUUAAAAAUUGA
rnacentral:lncRNA from 10 species